rnacentral:rRNA from 1 species
AAGUCGUAACAAGGUUUCCGUAGGUGAACCUGCGGAAGGAUCAUUACAGAGUUCAUGCCCUUCGGGGUAGACCUCCCACCCUUGAGUACUAUACUUUUGUUGCUUUGGCAGGCCGUCAGGUUUACGCCUGGCUACCGGCUCCGGCUGGUAAGUGUCUGCCAGAGGACCUAAACUCUGAAUUUUAUGUCGUCUGAGUACUAUAUAAUAGUUAAAACUUUCAACAACGGAUCUCUUGGUUCUGGCAUCGAUGAAGAACGCAGCGAAAUGCGAUAAGUAAUGUGAAUUGCAGAAUUCAGUGAAUCAUCGAAUCUUUGAACGCACAUUGCGCCCCUUGGUAUUCCGAGGGGCAUGCCCGUUCGAGCGUCAUCAACACCAUCAAGCCUGGCUUGGUAUUGGGCCUUGCCUGUAACACGGCCGGCUUUAAAAUCAGUGGCGGUGCCGCCUGGCUCUAAGCGUAGUAACUUUUCUCGCUAUUGUGNCCGGCGGUUGCUUGCCAACAACCCCCUAAUUUAAUAGAUUUGACCUCGGAUCGGGUAGGGAUACCCGCUGAACUUAAGCAUAUCAAUAAGCGGAGGAAAAGAAACCAACAGGGAUUACCUUAGUAACGGCGAGUGAAGCGGUAACAGCUCAAAUUUGGAAUCUGGCUCUUUCAGGGCCCGAGUUGUAAUUUGUAGAAGAUGCUUCGGGUGUGGCUCCGGUCUAAGUUCCUUGGAACAGGACGUCAUAGAGGGUGAGAAUCCCGUACGUGACUGGGUGCCUAUGCUCAUGUGAAGCUCUUUCGACGAGUCGAGUUGUUUGGGAAUGCAGCUCAAAAUGGGUGGUAAAUUUCAUCUAAAGCUAAAUAUUGGCCAGAGACCGAUAGCGCACAAGUAGAGUGAUCGAAAGAUGAAAAGCACUUUGGAAAGAGAGUUAAACAGUACGUGAAAUUGUUGAAAGGGAAGCGCUUGCAACCAGACUUGCACGCUGUCGAUCAUCCGAGGUUUUCCCCGGUGCACUCGAUUGCGUUCAGGCCAGCAUCGGUUUGGGCGGUGGGAUAAAGGCCUUGGGAAUGUAGCUUCUUUCGGGGAGUGUUAUAGCCCUCGGUGCAAUGCCGCCUGCCCGGACCGAGGACCGCGCUUCGGCUAGGAUGCUGGCGUAAUGGUUGUAAGCGACCCGUCUUGAAACACGGACC